CAUAUUGGACAAUGGGUGGAAGCUUGAUCCAACCAUGAUGCAUGAAUGACGAAGGUCUUAUGAAUGUAAAACUCUUUUAUAAGGGAAGAACAUCUGAAAGAGGUAAUUCCCCUGGCCCGGCCGUGCCUUAUCAAUAAGAAACGGCUAACUCUGAUUCAGCAGCCGCGGUAAUACUGAUAUUCAUAGCGUUAGUUUUAUUUAGUGGGCGUAAAGGGAGCGCAGGCGGAGAGGUCAUUGGAAAGUGGAAGCCCAAGGCUCCACCCCGGAAAGCCUUUCCAUUCUGCCCCUCUUGAGUACGUGAGAGGAAAGCGGAAUUCAGGGGGUAGCGGUGAAAUGCUUAGAUAUCCUGAGGAACACCAACGGCGAAAGCAGCUUUAUGGCACGAAACUGACGUUGAGGCUGGAAAGCGUGGGGAGCGAACGGGAUCAGAUACCCCGGUAGUCCACGCCCUA
rnacentral:rRNA from 1 species